CCCUAUGGGGUGCAGCAGGCCGACGGUGAUCGUCUUGAGGGAGUCGUCGUUGAGCACGACCAGGGGCCAGAUAAGGUCGUUCCAGGUGCCUUGGAUGCUGAGGAUGGCAACGGUGGAGAGCAUCGGUUUGCACAACGGGACGGCUACAUUCGUGAACGUGCGGAAGUCGCCCGCGCCGUCGAUGCGGGCGGCGUCGAACAGGUCGUUGGGAAUCGCGGCGAAGAAAGUGCGGAGCAGGAAGAUGCUCAUGACUUGUCCGCCCGCUAUGUAGGGCAGGAUGAGCGCCCAGUAGGUGUCGAUCAGCCCCAGCGACUUCACGAUCAUAAACAAGGGGACAAGCCCGAGCACGCCCGGAAUCAUCAUGAGCGAGAUGAUCGCGUAGAACAGGAAUUGGCGGGAGGGC
rnacentral:rRNA from 1 species